GAAUGAUCCUGAGCAUGCAAAGAAGCUUGCCGCCUUAGCAGAUCUUUAUGUCAACGAUGCCUUUGGGACAGCACAUAGAGCUCAUGCCUCAACUGAGGGAGUCACAAAGUUCUUGAGGCCAUCUGUUGCUGGUUUCCUUUUGCAGAAGGUGAGGCUUCCCAUUCUUGUCUCUGCUGUAUCAUUUACCUUAAUAAUCUGCAGACCUUUCCAAUCCUUCAAGGAAUACAUAUUUCAUAAUUUGAAGCCUUAGUUAUAACUUAUAACUAUUCAAGCUACCAUAAUAUUUAGAUUCAAACAUGCAACUCAUGCUGGCUUGGGUUAUUGGACUGUUAUUGUCACUCUUGCGGAGAGUUUACACAUUAGUAAUUGCUAAGACGUCUUACUAAUUAAAAAUCAUGAUUUCCAAUUUCUGUUUACUUCCUAACAAAAACGUGACAUUACAAAUGUGAUCAAGUAUCAGCCAAACACCCUCACCGCUUUUCUGUAUUAAUUCCUGGUUUAAAUGUUAAUGCUUAUUUAUUCUUCUUAGGAACUUGACUAUCUCGUUGGGGCUGUAUCAAGCCCAAAAAGACCAUUUGCUGCCAUUGUUGGUGGCUCAAAGGUUUCAUCCAAGAUUGGAGUGAUUGAGUCGCUUUUGGAGAAGGUUGAUAUCUUACUUCUUGGUGGAGGUAUGAUUUUCACAUUUUACAAAGCACAAGGUCUCUCAGUCGGUUCAUCUCUGGUGGAAGAAGAUAAACUAGAACUUGCUACAUCACUCAUGGCAAAGGCCAAUGCAAAAGGAGUGUCUCUUUUGCUGCCCACUGAUGUCGUAAUCGCAGACAAGUUUGCCCCUGAUGCAAACAGCAAGGUACAUAAUCUUAAUGUACAUUUACAACUUGAUUCUUCAGAUUCUUCGAUUUGCUCUAUCUUCUUGCUGGAAACUAGUUGAUUCAACGUCAGCAAUAAUAUUGUGUGUUUAUGUUUAACUUUGAUCAGCACUUCAUGUGAAAGAAAUGACAAAUUGGUUUUGUACUUGCAGAUUGUUCCAGCUUCAAGCAUUCCUGACGGGUGGAUGGGAUUGGAUAUUGGUCCAGACUCUAUUAAGACAUUCAAUGAUGCACUGGAUACCACUAAAACCAUAAUCUGGAAUGGACCGAUGGGAGUGUUUGAGUUUGACAAGUUCGCAGAAGGAACAGAGGUAUGCAAGAGUCUUCUUUCUGGUUUUCACUUUUUGUUCAUCAUCGUUCCUAUACAUCUUCUUACGAAUGCAUACUGAGUGGACAAGUGUUAUCUUGUAACGUAGUCAACAUCUAUCUCUUGAGGAUCCUCAAGAGAUGAGAUGGUCAGAUAGAUAGUUCUCGAAUCCUUUUGCACUGUUUACCUAAGUUUAGUUUAAUGUGUUUGACCGUGUCGUAGAUUUGUGUUGUGUGAGGGAACUCUUUAGCUUCUCUCGCCCAUUAUGAUUACUUUAUCCGGCUAUAUGAAUGUGAUGUGUGGGUGGUGAUUUAAGUUGCAACUCUUUCUUUGCAGUCUGUUGCAAAGAAGCUUGCGGAACUUAGUGGGAAGGGAGUGACAACAAUCAUCGGAGGUGGAGAUUCUGUUGCAGCCGUGGAGAAAGUAGGAGUCGCUAGUGUGAUGAGCCACAUAUCAACUGGUGGUGGUGCGAGUUUGGAGUUGUUGGAAGGCAAAGAACUUCCUGGUGUACUUGCUCUUGACGAAGCCACACCAGUUCCUGUGUAAGAACAAUCUUUUUUCCUGUUUGUUUUUUUCCCUGCCCACCGUGUUGGUGUUUCAUUCGAGUCUGUAAACGAGAAAUGGCAUGUAGGAAGAUGUGAGUUCGAGUUGUGAAUGUCUGAUGUUACCUUCAGUAUAAGGUCCCAUUAUGUCUAUAUAAAGUUUCCAUAAGAGAUGGCGGGGAGGGACAAACGCAGCCGUCCGAGCAAUCUAAUAAUUUUGUUCUUUGCGACCCUUUCUUUUUAAUAUGUCUCAAGGUUGGUUCUCUAUCCCAAUCACAAUCCGUUAACCCCUGCGCCCUACGGAUUUGGUUUACGGUUCAAAGUUACAAUUUUGAAUUUUCCAAGCGGCGAAAUUCAAACAUUCAACGGGCUGACAAGUACAAUCUUCAUAAAAUAUAGCUAGUCCUUUCGUUUUCGGACCAAAAAAAAAUAAAAGUUCAAAACCUACGUUGUUUGUCAUGGUACACAAAAGAUGCGUACGGAUUUUGUUUUUUAUUCUAAAACUAGAAUUUUCAGGUACGCUACAGCCUUACGGGUGUUCUCAAUUCAUGUCUGCUGUGCGUGACAAAAUGAUGCCAACAUAUCUAGAUUAAUUACAAGAAAAUAUCAAAAAAUCUCAUCAAACAAAUAAUUCAUUCGUUAUAAUGACAAAACAUAACAAUUACGGGGAAAAUCAACUAAAUAAUUCAUUCGUUACAAUGUCAAAACAUAACAGUCAUGCAUCGUAUUGACAACUACUAUAUAUGCAUCUAAAAAUAUGUGUUCACAUUUCAAAUCUCCUGACCUGAAGGGAACAUUGUCACUGGAAAUCACCUUAGCAGUAAACAAAGAAAAUUAAACAAAAUCAUCCAAAGAUCGAAUCGAGCUAAGUAGAGAUCUAACCCUAUAAAUGUCAUAACCGGUCGUAAUUCUGUAAAACGGAAUUCCUUUCGCCAUCACCUCUGUCCUCAACUUCAUCACGGCCUUGUGUGCAUCAGGACGCCCAGGAUAGUAUAUGGUCAUCCUCUCCUAAUCAUGAGCAUGCCCGAGAAUAUAAUAUGCGAACUCAAUAACAUAUGAACGGCAUUGAUACUGUAUGACUACCUCCUUGGCUUGGGAAAUAAAUGAAAUCUCUUUCGAUUUCCAAUAGUCACAAUUUAACCAUAGACGCUGAAAAGACAAACAAUCAAGUAAAUUGAAUGAAAACAAAACACCAACGAAAUAAAUAACGAGUUUGUGACUACAACGUAAAUCAAUUUAUUGCUUAAUUUGUGAAGUGUAGUCUUACCUCAACAAUAUCUGGAUGCAGAAUAAGAACUUUAACCUUGCGGAUGCUACAAAGAAAAUCAAAUAAGCCAUCAAAAUUACAGGUCAUAAAUGAAGAAGAAGUCUCAGCCUUCUCCAAGCACAUUAAGUUUCCAAGAUUCAGGCGAGUCAUAAAUUCCCCAAACCAUUCCAAAUACUUGAGAUUUGGAGCAGAAAUGUUGACCAAUCUGUCUGUCUUCCCCCCAAUCGGUGCAUUGAAAUGUAAUUUUUCAAGUCUGUCACAUGAGAUGUUAACAUGGCGUUUGUCGUUGUAGGCAUGAGACUCAUACCAAAUUGAUUCCAGAGAUGAGCUUUCAAUGACAAGAUUGUUGACCCCAACACAAUCUUUAAGAAGUAAUUCCUUCAUGCAUGUGCAGCAAGCUGAAAUCCAAUUCAAAAAUCGAUCAUCAUCAUUGUUUAUCGAAACAUCUUUGAACCUCAGGUACGUAUUCGAGAUUAAACGAAGAAUCCAUGGAGGCAACAUCACUAAUCCUGCACUUCAUUUGCACAAGCAGAGAUUUCAACGAUCUACAGUAUAAGAGGGAAGCAGGAAGCUCUCCAAACGUAAUAGGAGUGAUAACAAGAUGAAUCACUUCAACAUUGCACUUCACUGCAAUUUCAAUCCAUUCCCUCAAUAGCGAUUGGAAAUAAACAUCAUAGUCGUCAUCAUGAAAAUAAUCACGAAGGUUCCAACAAAAGCGAAAGCAUUGGAUCUUAUGAUGCACUCCACGUUGAAUGAAGAACCUACUCAAAGUGUACCCACCACACCGGAAAAAUCAUGAAAAAUCAUGUACGGGGUUGACAUAUAAAAAUCUCUGCAUGUUUUGGACACGCAGCCAACCCUAGUGAGGUCUUUGAAGUUGAGGCGGGACAAAAUAUCAUGAGCGAUCUCAGUUGGGAGAUUAGUGAAUCUAUCUAUAUUACUAGCUUGAUCACACCUUGGAGUGGCCAUUGAAAAAGCAAAACAAUCACAGAUUCGCAGACAGGAAGAACAAAACCACUCAACUAUGUUAUAGGUGGAAUUAGGGUUUUUGUGACCUAGAAAAACAAAGGAAUUAGGGUUUUCUGCUGCUUUUGUUGUAUUGGUCUUUCGGUGACGGUGAUCCACUCUUUGUGUCUAGCACUAAAACUUCACUAAUCAACACAUGCAAUACGUGAGUCUUGAUGUACUCAUCAAGAUAGAACGCUUGGUAGUAGUAUGAAGCUUACCUUCGCCGGAAACGGUGAGAAACUCGCCGGAGAAUUGAGCCGCGUCAGAGCUAAAUAAAUCAACGGGUUUGGAUUCGAAUUUCUAGAAACAAAUGUAGAGGAUGGGUGCCGGGUGCUAGGUGGAAUCUAAUGAUGGUGAUUAUGUGGUCUAAUUCCACCGCCUGACGGCGGAACCGUUGCGCCUGUCGCUGGAACGGCGGUGUCUGGAUUCUGUCGAGAGAGAGAUUCAGAGAGAGAAAGUGAAGGGGAAGAGAGACAGAACGGGGAAAAGAGAGUUAAAUUAAACCCUAAUCCACAAUUUGCUACGAAUAUGAGUGCCGCCUAACCAUAGCCUAAUUUUUCUACCAACUUUUUAAUAAAAAAUUUAGUACCAGAUUUAGCCCUAUGUAAAAACACUUUAAAAACCGUGUUAGAAAUUAUUCCUCAAAUAAUUUGUAGUCAAAGAAAAAGAAAAUAGAAAAAAGAGCCUAAGAUCUCUAUGGUGAUAGAGUAUGAUAAGCUCCGUGAUUAAAAAAAUUAGAGAUUAAACCUUUUGGUGAGUCUGUUAGGAUUGAACCCAAAAUUGAAAAUUCAUUCAUUUCUCUCUAAAUAGUAUGCACAUGAAUCUCACAUAAAGGUCGUACCCAGUGCACAAGGUUCCUGCUUUACGCAGGGUCUGGGAGAGGUGAAUGUCGGCUAGCCUUACCCAGUGCACAUGAAUCUCACAUGAGAGAAUAAAAUAUUUAUUCAACGCUCGUAUUCGCUCCGCAUUCCAAAAGAUUAAAUAGCGACGUGGGUGUUAAUUUUAUCGUUUGAAAUCAAACUGAAAUGUGUGAAAUGUAAUCGUUGAUUGAAAUCAGUAAGGUUUGGUUGAUGUUUGAGUAGCCACAUUGAUGGCUAGGAGACAAAUGAAAGGAGCCGUGCAAUCUUGGGUUUUUCGUGGUUCAAUCCACCCGGCGUGGUCUUCUGCUUGAAGUUUUUUUAACCUUUUUUCCAAUCGAUGACCUCCACGUAGCUGGCUUGGUUUAGGCCCCGUUUGGGAUUGAGGUGAUUUUAAAAAAGCAACUGUGAAAAAAAGCUGAGGGUCAUUUUUGUGUUUGGUAAACUGAAAAAAAGGGCUUAUUUUGGAAGCUGCUGUGAGAAUAAGCUGAAAAUCAAAGGAAAAGCUGAAGCUGCUAUUUGCUGCUUUGAAAAAAAGCCAGUUUUUUCAAAGCACACGGAGCUACAGUGCUCCUUUAAUGAAAAGACACACUAUCAUCCUGCUUUUUUUUCCAAAAGCACUUUCACAAAAAAGUUUACCAAACACUCUACUGGCUUUAUUUCACAGCCGCUUAUUCUCACAGCACAGCCGCUUAUUCUCACAGCAGCUUUUUUUCAAAGCACAGCAAUACCAAACCAGCCCUUAGAAUGGUAACUGUUAUUGUCGGUAUGUAUAGGAAGUUGUUAAGUGAGAACUUCUAACUUUAUUUCCUGCUGGAUAAAAAUUCAAUAUCAAAAAACUAAUAAAGAAAGCACAGGUUCGACAAAAAAAGACAGAGCAGAGACAGAUUCUUGAAUGCAACAUUAGCCAAGCCCAUCCAUAAUCGCUUUUCCCAUGCGAAAUCGACUGCUAAGUUUAAUUCAAUUUCUCAUGUGAACUAAAACAUACAAGAAAGAAGGAGCAACGUCAAUCAAAAAACAAAACGUAAAACUCCAUAGGAUUAGUUUUCUCACUCAAACACAAUUCGAUUAAUUUCUAACGAUGAACCCUAACAACCAGCUGAUUCCCAUUUUAUUGUUCCACUCUUUGAUUUCAAUUAAACAUUUCAUUUCAUGCACGCAAAUUCGAUAGCAUAUGAUAAAGGUUAACAACCCACAUCGCGAUUUCAUCGCUCCGCAUUGGGUGGUGACUAUGAAUGAGUAUUAGUUAUUAGCUUCUAACAGUUGAAUAAGAGGGAAAUAACGAUUUUAACCUCACACGUGAGGCUCACGUGCAAGCUGUUAACAGAAGAAUGACAAACUUUCAGUUUAGGGCAUGAAUCAUAACAAACUCACCUCAAGAAUUUUUUUCCUAAUUUUUUUUUCACCAAGAGUACCAUUUAUUCGAUUAGGCAAAAAAAAAAAAAAUUUACAAAAUUUCAAUUGAGAAACGAAUAGCCCUAGCUGCGAACAACCUCCCUCUGUUCUCUUCAUCCCUCACACCUUUCUAAACUCUUCCGUCCACCCCACCCACCCCAAAUUUUAUCUCUAUUUUUCUUCCUAUUAUACAACCCUUGCUUUUGAAUUGCAAAUCAAGAACAUAUAUAUAUAUAUAUAUAUAUGGAUAUGAAUCGUAAAUCCAGAUCUUGCAUGGUAAGAAAUAAAGAGAUAGAAAGAGGAGAAAAAAAAAUGAUGCUAACUUUCCCCGCAACAAAGAGAAAAGGAGUUACCGCUGUCAUAUAUGGUGCUAGUUAUGGAUAUGAAUAUUAAGGUUAGUAUAAAAUAUUUGACCACGUAGUAGCUUUGUUUUGUGUGAGGGAACUCUUUAGCUUCUCUUGCCAUAUGAAUGUGAUGUGUGGGCGGUGAUUUAAGUUGUAACUCUUACUCUGCAGUCUGUAGCAAAGAAGCUUGCAGAACUUAGUGGAAGGGAGUGACAACAAUCAUCGGAGGUGGAGAUUCUGUUGCGGCCGUGGGGAAAGUAGGAAUUGCUAGUGUGAUGAGCCACAUAUCAACUGCUGGUGGUGCGAGUGUGGAGUUGUUGGAAGACAAAGAACUUCCUGGUUACGUUUCAUAUAAGGUCCCAAUAUGUCUCUAUAUAAAGUUUCCAUAAGAGAUGGCAGGGAGGGACAAUGGCAGCCAUUCGAACAAUCUAAUAAAUUUGUUCUUUGCAACAUUUUCUUUUUAAAAU
rnacentral:lncRNA from 1 species